rnacentral:rRNA from 1 species
GGUUAAAAUAUGGAUGUUACCUUGGGGGGGGGGGGGGGGGCGUCCUUCCCGUGAUUUUGAAAAAAAAAAAAAUUAAUAUUUGGGGACUUCAAUACCUUUCAUUGGGUGUGGGGGUUUCGGGAAAGUUUAUUUUUCUUAAAAAAAUUUAGAGUGCUUCAAGCCCUGCAUUGCCUUUAAUACUCUGGCAUGUAAUAAAAGUAAAAGUUUUUUUUUUUUUUUUGUUGUUCUAAGAUCAGAAUAAUGAUUAAUAGGGACAGUUGGGGGCAUUUGUAUUUAACAGUCAAAGGUGAAAUUCUUAGAUUUGUUAAAGACAAACUAAUGCAAAAGCAUUUGCCAAGGAUGUUUUCAUAAUCAAGAACGAAAGUUAGGGGAUCUUAGACGAUCAGUUUCCGUCGAGUCUAACCAUAACUAUGCCGUUGGAGGGCAAGGCUG